AUGCCCCCAGGCUCAACUUCCCGACUUCCCAGAACGCCGCCGGAAACCGAUUUUCGAACAAACCUCCCGCAUGUGUUGUUCAGAAACCAGUGUGCCUGGGACGAAGAGACCAGUCCCCGCUGUGGCUGUCCAGUGUCACUGACCGCGUGGGGUGUGCCUUGGGCUGGGGUGUUGCCCCGUGCACUUGGAUGUCCCCUGGGGUCUGGGCCAGCCCAGGACCGAAACGAAAACCGGGAGCCCAGGCGCUCUCCUAACCCGACAGCCUGGGCCCAGGCACCACCAGAUCCUGCUGAUGUCUGGCUGUCUGCGCAUGCCUCAGAGCUGACCAGAAGACCUGCGACGAGGGAAGGGUGAUGCUGAGACCUUUUGGGACCUUUCUGCCUCCCGGGGAAGUUCCCGGGGAGCCAGGGAGGAACCUGGCCAGCAGCUCGCUGGGCCCAAGUUGGGGUUGAAGGUAGAGGUCACACAGUCACUGCUUGCACCCUUGGGACUUUGGCUGGCCUGGGGGUGAAGCAGCUGAUCCUGGGGAGGGGAGACAUCCAGGACUCCACCUGGCUUCAGUCUUCUUCAUGUAAACCUUCCUGCAGUCACCGUCAUCUCCUCCCCCUGGGAUGUGCUGAUGGCCAGCCCUGAGUUUGGGAGGUCAUUAUAAAUCUGAGGACAUCUUGCCUUCCCCGAUUUCUUCCCAGAGAGGACCGGCCUUUCUGCUCUCAGGGAGCCCUUCCUGCAUCUAGACAAAGUGUGCAAGGCCACCUGCUCCAGGAAGCACCCUCACAGGUCCCCAUAAGAGGGGACACCCUGAGCCCAUCGCCCUCACAGAACAGGGGCAUUGGCAGACACCGCCAUGGGGUGCUGCAGAGAAAGACGAGACCCACAGGAAGAAGUGAACCCCGCCAUUUCCCAGCCCCUGAAGCUGAGUGCCCUUGGGGCUGGGUGGGGCUGGGUGAGGGCUGGGUGACCGGGUUUUCUGCACCCUCUCCCCACGUGGAGAGUAUUAUUCUGACCUCUCUGCUGUAGACUGGCCUGGGGUGCACUUUGCUUUUCUUUCUGCCCUCAGCAGGUGGCCCCAGGGCACAGUGUGGGACUCUGCUGUCCCUCGUGAGGCCCAGUUCCCCCAGCACACCAUUCUCUUCCCACACAGACUGGGAAGCACCAUCCCUGCCCAGGCCCUAGGAGGGCUGUGAUCCUCCACCCAGGGCUUUCGUGAUUUCUGUGUCCACCACACUGCGGUUCUCACAGCCUCCCUCCUCAGUCCUGAAGGAGUUGCCCAGAGGGUGGACUUCUCGCCUGUUUUUGCCUGUAUCUUUUGCGCCUCAAAGGCAGUGUGUCACACAUAUGAUCAAUAAAU
rnacentral:lncRNA from 1 species